UCUCUGAAGUGAUGCAAUAUGGCGCCGGAAAGUGGUAACAGCUGAUUCGAUAUGCCAAGUUUCCGCGGCCGUUAUUGCACAACUAGGGACGCAAACGAAGCAGUUGGUAUAUUGAUGGACACAUCAAUUCAUAUACGAUAGCUGUACAUAGGUAAAUAUGGACGAUCUCGUUGAUUUGUUUGGCACCAGCUCUGCAGAGGAGCUACCUGCUUCACUACCGCCGGAGAUUGAGGAAGGAAACAUAGAAUAUAAACUAAAGCUAGUCAACCCGUCAGACUUUCGAUUAGAACACUUAGUAACUCAAAUGAAAUGGCGACUAGAGGAGGGACAUGGGGAAGCCAUUUACGAGAUAGGAGUAGAAGACAAUGGAAUGUUGGUAGGCCUUACAGACGUGGAGCUGGAGGCUUCAGUACGGACUCUCAACAGAAUGGCGGACAGGUUAGGGGCCACCACUUCGGUGUUGAGGGAGAGACUGGUGGACAGUGAUGAAGGUGCUGGAUGUCGUAAACGGGUGUUAGAAAUCCUUGUUAGAAAAGUCCCAGAUGACCAACAGUUCAUUGACCUGCGACUGGCAGUCCUAGGGAAUGUAGAUGCAGGCAAGAGUACACUGUUAGGUGUGCUUACUCAGGGCGAGCUAGACAACGGGAGGGGACGCGCCAGACUCAACCUCUUUCAACAUCUGCACGAGAUACAGUCUGGGCGAACCUCCAGCAUCAGUCAUGAAAUCCUUGGGUUUAACAGCAAAGGGGAGAUUGUGAAUUACAGUGGAUCUCGAACUGUAGAGGAAAUUUGUGAGAAUUCUUCCAAGCUUAUCACUCUUAUUGACCUUGCUGGACAUCACAAGUAUCUGAAGACCACUAUAUUUGGACUGACCGGUCAUGCCCCAGACUUUGCCAUGUUAGUGGUCAGUGCUAACACAGGAAUGGCUGGGACGACAAAGGAACACCUUGGGUAUGCCCUGGCCCUGAACGUGCCGAUAUUUGUUGUGAUCAGUAAGAUUGACAUGUGUAGGAAGUACCUGAUGGAGAGGACAGUAUCUCAGCUAGAGAAGAUCUUAAAGUCGCCAGGAUGUAAACGAGUUCCACUGCGGAUCAAAACUGAGGAUGAUGCUAUCACAGCUGCCACAAACUUUGAUACAGACAGAAUAACUCCCAUUUUCACCAUAUCAAGUGUGACAGGGAAAAGCUUAGAUCUGCUAACAACAUUUUUAAAUGUACUUCCUUCCAUGAAAAAUGUCAAAGAACGAGAGAAACUUACACAAGACCUAACAGAAUUCCAGAUUGAUACUCUGUUUUCGGUGCCAGGAGUAGGAAGUGUUGUAGGAGGAACAAUUCACAGGGGAUCCAUCAAAGAGGGAGAUUGUCUACAAUUGGGGCCAUUUGAAGGCGGAGAGUUCCGACAUGCUGUAGUCAAAACUGUUCACAGAAACCGUCUGCCAUGUCGCUUCAUUCAGGCUGGACAGACAGCAACAGUGGCCCUGGCAAACAUAGAGAGGGAAGCAGUUACGUAAGGGUAUGGUGCUUGUUAGUCAAGAGAUGAGCAUCAGUGCUUGUGAGGAAUUUGAGGCGGACAUUUAUCUUCUAUACCACUCCAAACAAAUCACGAUUGGAUUUGAGGCCACCAUACACGUGGGCAGUGUUUGUCAGACCUGUAAGAUCAUUGAGAUAGAAGGAAAGGAAUCCAUUAAAACCAAUGAGAAGGCCCGUGUCAAGUUCAGGCUGGUGAAACAACCCGAGUAUAUGAGAGUGGGAUCGCGUCUUCUCUUCCGUCAGGGCACCACCAAGGGUAUGGGGGAAAUCGUCAAGACUAUUCCAUGGCAAAGUGAGGAGGCCAUGCGAUAAACAGAAACAAAGAUAAACAGAAACAAAAGUGUCUGUAAAUGUGAAACUUACAUCAACCCAAAAUCAAAUACAAAAGUGUAGAGUGUAGUAACAAAUACAUUUUCCUGAUACAACUUUCUCAUGUUCAGCUCAAGUGUUAGAGACUUGUGUGUUAUUUCGGCCAGUCACCAGCUGUACAGACACUUGUAAGAUACUGUAUGUUUAUAUUUCUCAGAAAAUUUACUGAUUUUGGAGUAUCAUAUAUCUAGUAUUAACACCAUUUUAAAACAUUAGAUUUUAUCCAAAUAAGAGAGCAUUCUACAGUUUUAAAUAAUACCUUAUUUCAUGAACACCACUUUUAAACUUUUACUUCGUUUGCAUGAAAAUUGUAUAAAACAAGUUUGUAAUCAAAGUUUGUUUUAGGAAGUUGAAACCAUUCCUUUUGUUUUUUCACAGUUAUUGUUAUUGUUUAUACAUUAUUGUUAUCGUUGUUGACAUGUUUAAAAAGUUUAAUCUAUAUAUUGUUUGCUUCUAUUGUCCGCCAUGUAUAGAACUAUUACUAGUUUAAUAUUCCUAUUUGCUUGGAGUUUUUGAAGUAAACUAGUUUUAAAGGUAGCUAUUGUUUAGAGAUGACAGUAUGAAUUAUCUAGAGGUGUGUCCCGUGUUACAACUGUCUCCGUUUUAAGACUUGGGAUAUACAGAUGAAGUUACAUGUAUCUUUUAUACCAGUGCUUUUAUUACCCCAGUACUUAAGAUACCAUCUUAAUCCUAAUAUUAAAAUCAGUACUUGUUACUGUUAUUUAAAUUAUCAUCAAUUCAUUUAUGCAUGCAAUGAUUUUUUACCAGAUGUAUAAAAAUAAAAAAAAAGUAAACUUAAGCACCUCAGUGUAACUUAAAUAAAAUAUUUUUUCUUUGGAAUUUUAAUAUACCAGUACAAUGAAAUUGGUAUUGAUAUUUUUAUACUGACAUUUCAUUACUGGUUCUCAUAUCAGUUAGAAUGUAGACAAAACCUGUGCAAUAGUAGAUCAUGAGUAGAUCUGUACAUAGCUUCUGUACGUAGAUAGUGUCCUAAAGCAUUGUGGCUGUGAUUUUGUAUAUAAAACGUUUUGCUGAUACCGUAUUUUGUAUGUAGUUAACAAACCUCUGCUGAUGUGUGGUUGUUGAUUUAUUUUAAUUUAUUGAGUAAAAGGAGUUUAUGAAUCUGCAGUCUCAUGCGUGUAAAAACAUUUGAAGCAAUAUGUUCAUAUAUAGAUUUUAUUCAUUCUGUUUAAUCUGUACCAUCGUUUAAAUUGUAUGUUAUGUUAGUGAUGAUUUUUUGUUUACAGCUGAUAAUGCUGUAAUGUAUAUCUGUCUUUUGGAUAACCAUGGGAUUGUGGGUCUAUAGACGAGGUGGAGCUGAUCUGUAGACGAUGUAGAACUGAUCGGUAUAGUCCAAGUGUCUAAUUAUAAGGGCAGAGUACCUUUAUUGUCGUAAAAAGAACGAAAUCGGGUAUCAACUACUCAUAUAUUCAAACCAAAUGUAACCCGUUUCAUUGUUUUCACAUUUUAUGUUCCUUUUGAUUUUGUUAUAACUGGCAAAAUAUAAUAUCAUACAUUAUGAUAUAGUAUUAUGUUGUGUAAUACCAUUUUCAAUAUCAGCAGUAAUACCAUUUAUCACAAGUGUUGCUUUGGAGUGUUUUUGAAUUAGUUUUAUAGUUCUUUUGUAGUUUGUAGCUGAAUGUAAUGCAUUGAUAGCAAAAAUAUUAAAUUGACUAAAACAA